rnacentral:misc_RNA from 1 species
AAAUUAUAAAAUUCAGGCAACGUAUAGAAACCACAUGGAAUGUUUCUUGUUCUACAUGUCAAAUUGCCGAUUUUAAAUCUUUUUUUUUGCCAUAACUAUUUCUCAUAUAUAGCUAGAGUCGAGAUUUUUAUCAUACUAACAUUUUCAAAAUUUUGCUCGUCAGUAUUCAUAGAACUGGAGCAAUCAGGUGUAUUACGCUAGGAAUGAUAACUUAGACUUGCACAUCAUGCAGGA